GGACAGUGUGCCAUUAUCAUGUUUGAUGUCACUGCUCGUUUGACAUACAAGAAUGUCCCGACAUGGCACCGUGACCUAUGCAGGGUAUGCGAGAACAUUCCGAUUGUUUUGUGCGGAAACAAGGUGGAUGUAAAGAAUAGGCAGAUGAAAGCACAGGAGGUUACCUUUCAUAGGAAGAAAAAUCUCCAGUACUAUGAAAUCUCUGCCAAGAGCAAUUACAACUUUGAGAAACCUUUCUUGUACCUUGCCAGAAAGCUUGCAGGACUGACGUGUUCUUAGCACCACAGAUUGCUAUAGCUACAGCAAGGUUCAAUAUAAACAUGUUCCAACUUCAAUGGGGACACAAGAGGCAUCUGUAAGUGUUGAAACUUAUCAUGAAGAUCCAAAGUGAAGCUGGUCUCUUAAGAAACAAGAUGUCUUUCAAGUGGAAUGUGCUGUGUUGAGGCAAUCCACCCUUAUGUACUUUAGGUUUAUUUUUUUUAUUGGUUUUGCUAUAAGCUUCAUUUGUGAUUGCUUCACAACAUUUGUUUGUAUACUACUCAACUUUUUAUACAAGUGAAGGUUCUUUGCAACAAGCAAAGAAUUAGACAAAUUUGUUAUUCUUCUUAUUUAUAAAACUUUUGGGUGAUAUUGGA